rnacentral:rRNA from 1 species
UACGAAGGGGGCUAGCGUUGUUCGGAAUCACUGGGCGUAAAGCGCACGUAGGCGGACUCUUAAGUCGGUGGUGAAAUCCUGGAGCUCAACUCCAGAACUGCCUUCGAUACUGAGAGUCUCGAGUCCGGGAGAGGUGAGUGGAACUGCGAGUGUAGAGGUGAAAUUCGUAGAUAUUCGCAAGAACACCAGUGGCGAAGGCGGCCUUCUGGACAGUGACUGACGCUGAGACGCGAAAGCGUGGGGAGCAAACAGG